rnacentral:rRNA from 1 species
GAUGAACGCUGGCGGCGUGCCUAAUACAUGCAAGUCGAGCGAACAGACGAGGAGCUUGCUCCUCUGACGUUAGCGGCGGACGGGUGAGUAACACGUGGAUAACCUACCUAUAAGACUGGGAUAACUUCGGGAAACCGGAGCUAAUACCGGAUAAUAUAUUGAACCGCAUGGUUCAAUAGUGAAAGACGGUUUUGCUGUCACUUAUAGAUGGAUCCGCGCCGCAUUAGCUAGUUGGUAAGGUAACGGCUUACCAAGGCGACGAUGCGUAGCCGACCUGAGAGGGUGACCGGCCACACUGGAACUGAGACACGGGCCAGAUUCCUACGGGAGGCAGCAGUAGGGAAUCUGCCGCAAUGGGCGAAAGCCUGACGGAGCAACGCCGCGUGAGUGAUGAAGGUCUUCGGAUCGUAAAACUCUGUUAUUAGGGAAGAACAAAUGUGUAAGUAACUAUGCACGUCUUGACGGUACCGAAUCAGAAAGCCACGGAUAACUACGU